rnacentral:rRNA from 1 species
UGGGGAAUCUUGGACAAUGGGGGCAACCCUGAUCCAGCGAUGCCGCGUGAGCGAAGAAGGCCUUAGGGUUGUAAAGCUCUUUCGCCCGCGACGAUGAUGACGGUAGCGGGAGAAGAAGCCCCGGCUAACUCCGUGCCAGCAGCCGCGGUAAUACGGAGGGGGCUAGCGUUGUCCGGCAUUACUGGGCGUAAAGCGCGCGUAGGCGGUCCACCAAGUCGGGGGUGAAAGCCCGGGGCUCAACCCCGGAAUGUCCUCCGAGACUGUUGGACUGGAGUUCGGGAGAGGAGAGCGGAAUUCCCAGUGUAGAGGUGAAAUUCGUAGAUAUUGGGAAGAACACCGGUGGCGAAGGCGGCUCUCUGGCCCGCAACUGACGCUGAGGCGCGAAAGCGUGGGGAGCAAACA